ensembl:lncRNA
GAUAGAGACACCUGAUAAUUUGGGAAGGAGGGUGGAGGUCUUGGUCACAGUGCAGUUGGUUUAUAACUUUAGGUCCUGCUCAUUGGUUUUUUGGUGGAAGGAAGUUAGCAAGAAUUCAGAAUUUACAGUCUUGUGAAUGAUUUCUUUUUUUAAUGUAGGCAAAUCCUGUGCAUGUGUGCUAAGUCACUUCAGUCGUGUUCGACUCUUGAGACCCUAGGGACCAUAGCCCACCAUGCUCCUCUGUACAUGGAUUCUACAGACAAGAAUACUGGAGUGGGUUGCCAUGCCCUCCACCAGGGGAGAUUCCCGAACCAGGGAUCAAGCCUGCAUCUCAUCUCCUGCAUUGGCAGUUAAUCUACCAAUCCUCUGGUCCCUCUACACCACAAGGAGCAACGGAAUCCCUACCCUGGGGGAGUCUUAAUUAAGAGUGGAUCAUGGAGAGCUCGCGUUGAUGUCAACAAAGCAAGAUUUGUGCUCCGGGCAAUCGGGAGAGAAUCAGUUUCCAG